rnacentral:rRNA from 1 species
UAUUAGAUCCAAGAACCAAUGCACCUUCGGGUGGUUGUUUGGUGAUUCAUAAUAACUGUACGGACCGCAUGGCCUCGAGCCGGCGGCAGGUCAUUCAAAUUUCUGCCCUAUCAGCUUUCGAUGGUAGUGUAGUGGACUACCAUGGCUUUCACGGGUGACGGAGAAUUAGGGUUCGAUUCCGGAGAGGGAGCCUGAGAAACGGCUACCACAUCUAAGGAUGGCAGCAGGCGCGCAAAUUACCCAAUCCCGAUUCGGGGAGGUAGUGACAAGAAAUAACUCUGCGUGCGUGUGUAUAUGCGCCGCGGUUGGAAUGAGAAUGAUUUAAAAACCUUAUCGAAUGCAACUGGAGGGCAAGCCUGGUGCCAGCAGCCGCGGUAAUACCAGCUCCAGUAGCGUAUAUUAACGUUGUUGCAGUUAAAAAGCUCGUAGUUGGAUUUCUGACCUCGAGUGCUGCUUGCGCCGGUAGUCUUCGGACACGUGCGACAACGCAGCACCGGUCAUCCUCCGGGCGCCGGCCAUUGCUCUUCACUGGGUGGAUGGCACGCGCUCCCGGUCGUUUACUUUGAACAAAUUAGA